CCCUAACCUGUGAGUUUUACAUGAGGUUGUUUGAGUGCUAACUCCAUCUCUGUAGUGGCCACCCUGACAUACCUAAAGAAGACACCACCUCCUAUUUGGCAAAAGGUCCUUUCUUCCCACCAGCCUCACACUCCUGGUCCUGACGGCCACCUCCUACCGUGCUAGGGUCCCACACCCUGGGCUUCCUCCACACCAGUCAGUGGUUGGUGUUGGUGGGGAAUCUUAGAGCCACCCUCUCAGACUCCCACUGAGGGGGACUGGUCUCCCUGUCCCUGGGGCUAGCCUGGAGCUGGGCCUGCCAGUGGUCACCUGUCUGAGCAUGGGUUAGGAGGCUGGGAGGGCUGCCCACCACUCCAGGGCCUGCCUCCAGCUGCCUCCGGCUGCCUCCACCCUCAGGCCCUCCUGGCCCGACGGUGCUUGAACAGGGCAGGGCAGGCUAGCUGGCUGAGGGCAGGGGGUUCCACGUCAGCGUUCUGAGGACUAAACUCUGGCCCUUUUUUCUUCUUUUGCCCAAAUUCCUACCUAAGAGGCCUGGGGAGUGUGCCCUACAAACUGCAGAGUCUCUCAAAUGGGUUUUAUUUAACCCCAUAUAACACGGCUGCCUUUCCAGCCUGACUGUGGUGUAGCAUCGCAUGACGGACAAGGAAGGAAAUGAGGUAUUUUAAAUGCAUAUAUGUUUAUUUGCCAUAUCUUGAAGUAGCCGUGCAAAGCUGUCUCUUGUGGGAGAAACAUCUACAGUCUGUAGAGAAUCCCCUUCUUCUUCUGAGGCCUUUUUCCUGACCCAGGAGAGAAUCAGCUAAGAGACUGACACCCUUUCAGGUCUGAUAAGAAACAUUUACAUUCCGUCCUCCCUGUAGCCUGCUAUCUGGAGGCUUUACCUGAAUGAGAAGAAUCUUGGUUGCUUAGUCACCGAGGCUGGAGUGCAAU
rnacentral:lncRNA from 1 species